UGGGAGAUAUGCUUUACAUUCCCCGGGAUGUAAAUGAAUCAACGAUGUAACACCAGACUCUUUUUGCAGUGCCACUUAUCCAGUGAAGACCGGAGACACGUGCAGGUGGGCAGUUCGGCUGGGGCGGCACCCCUUUGAAAAGAUAUCAAAGGGGCCCAAAGUUGAGUUCAAACGGGGCAGAAAUCCGUUGAAGAGGGCAAAGCCAAAAACUCGACUGAAUGGGUUUCCAAACGCACGGAAUCCAUAGACGAAAGUCUGGCUUAGCGAUCCUUCGUGUGCCCACUAUUGGGGCCCGGAGGUGACAGAAAAAUUACCCCAGGGAUAACAGGCUCGUCGCGGGCGAGAGCUCCUAUCGACCCCGCGGUUUGGUACCUCGAUGUCGGCUUUUCCUAUCCUGGUCCUGCAGCAGGGGCCAAGGGUGAGGCUGCUCGCCUAUUAAAAGGGAACAUGAGCUGGGUUUAGACCGUCGUGAGACAGGUCGGUCUCUGCCUGAUGGAAGCGCAAAUAACUGAGGGGAAGUUCCUCCUAGUACGAGAGGAACAGAGGAGCGUGGCCACUGGUCUACCGGUUGUCUGAUAAGGCAGGCCGGGCAGCUAAGCCAUUUAGGCUAAGUGCUGAAAGCAUCUAAGCACGAAUCCUAUCCCGAGACAAGUUAUUCUUUCGUAAGAUGAAGGUCGGCAGCAGAAGACUGCGUUGAUAGGAAGGUGGUGUAGAUCACAAGCUUCGGCGAGUGGUGAGCCAGCCUUUACUAACAGACCAACACAUCGGUUCA
rnacentral:rRNA from 1 species